UACAGAGGUCUCGAGCGUUGUUCGGAUUCAUUGGGCGUAAAGGGUGCGUAGGCGGCGCGGUAAGUCGGGUGUGAAAUCUCGGAGCUUAACUCCGAAACUGCAUUCGAUACUGCCGUGCUUGAGGACUGGAGAGGAGACUGGAAUCUACGGUGUAGCGGUGAAAUGCGUAGAUAUCGUAAGGAAGACCAGUGGCGAAGGCGGGUCUCUGGACAGUUCCUGACGCUGAGGCACGAAGGUCAGGGGAGCAAACGGG
rnacentral:rRNA from 1 species